rnacentral:rRNA from 1 species
UACGUAGGGUCCGAGCGUUAAUCGGAAUUACUGGGCGUAAAGCGUGCGCAGGCGGUUUUGUAAGCCAGAUGUGAAAUCCCCGGGCUUAACCUGGGAAUGGCAUUUGGGGACUGCAAGGCUGGAGUGUGGCAGAGGAGACUGGAAUUCCCGGUGUAGCAGUGAAAUGCGUAGAUAUCGGGAGGAAUACCGAUGGCGAAGGCAGGUCGUCUGGGCUGACACUGACGCUCAUGCACGAAAGCGUGGGGAGCAAACAGG